CUGUGAUUUGGCCCCAAACCUCGUGCUGUCUAAGGGCGCUCAUUACAAGCACAGCCUUCCACCAGAAACGACCUGCGCGCACCGCCGCAUGGGCUCCCAGCGACGAACUCACGCCCUGUUGCUAAUGAGCCAGAGUGUGAGAAAGUCUGCCUGUAGAAGUUCCCACUGCAGCUCACGGAUGACUGAGUCCCUGUGGGAGAGACGUGGCGCGUGCAUGGUGAGUUCAAGUGGACGGAAGAACACGAGACUUGUGUUGAGAAGAAACAAGAUGCAACAACUGAUUCAGGAAGUUAGCAUGUUUAUUCCUGCUUUUUUGAAUGCUUGUAGACGUUUGCCAAUAAAAAGUCAGCAGGGAAACAACCUCCAAUUAUAAGUUACAAAUAUACGUUAUUAAAAGAAUGUGUCAAUCUUUUGAUGUGGGUUUACUUCAGACUUUUUUCAGAUCAUUUAUAUGUAAAAUAUGUCCAAAAAUAUGUUUUUAUUUUCAGCAAUGUGCACUAUAAGUUUAUUGAAUAACCUAUUUAAUUAGAACAUGAUCCAAAUAGAAAAUGUUUAAGUUUUAAUAUUUUAUUUUAAAAAGGGAGACAUAGUUUUAAAAUUACCUUUAGUUAGGGUGAACAAUCUUAUUCAGCACAAAUAAAAAAUGUGAGGGGCGAACUGAAUUAAAAUAAACACUGCACAAAUAGGCUAAAUGUGAGCCUUUCAGAAUGUUUUUUAUCACUGGUGUUCAAUUGCAUUGUUUGUGUCACUUACGAAGAGUAUGAAUUAAGAGUGAGCCUUUUCUUAUAUUCUCGCAAAUAUGUUUCAAAUUUAAAUGUCAGAUGUAGUGGAUUCAUAAUAUGAUUUCCUGUUGUCAUAAUAUCUAUGCAGAGAAUACUUCAGAAACCAAUAUGUUAUGGUAAAAGUAAUUUGAUUAUAAACAAUUUUAAACUCAAGAUAUACCAAUAAAAAUACUGCAAUAUAUGAAAGUAAAGAUGAAGAUUAAAUUCUGCAAUAAGUCCGAAGAUGCGAGGGUGGGAAAUGCUAAAUAAAGUGAUUUCCUCUUGUUGUGUGUGUUGGUCUUUAUUCACCUGCUUAAUAAAGUUGAAUUUGUCGAGUCUC